AUGAUUAAUGAGAUACCUUCCUCACAAGGACGCUGUUACAGUGAACGAAGAUCAUGCUGCAAAGGAGCUAGCACAGAGCCUGGUACUCAGGAGGGCUGUCCGGGAGGUGCCAGCCCGGGAACGAGAGCCCGCACCGCAGCGCAGCCAUGCACCCCAGCCAGACCCAGGCCGGAAGGCGAAAGGGAAGUUUCUUCCAAGGUGAGCACAGGGCUUUUCAGCUUGCAAAGCUUUUUCUCCUCUUGUACAUCAUCCGAACCUCACCACAACCACGAGUCUUGUUAUGCAGAUGAGGAUGCUCACCAUCUGUUGAGGACCUACCACGUGUCAGGUGUGGCGUGCGGUUCUUUACAAUAACCACUCUUGAUUGUGUGCCUACUAGGCGCCAGGCAGGCGCUUUACAUACACCGGCUCAUUUACGGCUCAAACCAAAGUUGGGUCCAUCUUACAGCCAAUGGAACAGACGCUCAGGGUUGAGGUGACGUCCUUGCCCCGGGUCACCCAGCUAGAAUGUGGCAAAGCCACAAUGAACCUGGCGGGGCUCUUGUGAGAAGCCAGUGAGAACGCGCACAAAGCAUGGGGCCCGUGCCUGGCGCCAGGUAGGUUCUCCGAACGGCGUAUUUCCUUCUUUUGUCCUCUUUCUGCCGUCGGCUUGUUUACAUUCUCCCUGUGCCCCAGAAGCCGUAAUUGCUUAUAGGGACAAAUAUGUGAUGUGAUGGCGUGGAUGAGAAGAAUCUGCGAAAGACACAAGGAAAAAGAGGAGGGGGAGGCAGAAAGAUCUAGAACCGACGUGAGGAAGGAGGAAAUACGCCCCCAGCAGACUGGCUGCUGGCGCCUCUUUCUGGAGAUCUGGGGUCUCCGUCCUCUACUGCGACCCUGGGGAAGAGCCCGUCUCCUUGUGUCUGAAUGGGGACCGUGCCCACGUCGGGGGGUUCUGUGAGGAUUAAAUGGUUACUGUCUGUACCACCCGCACAGUCACGAUCUCGGUCAAGGUUCUCCCUGCCAGCCUGCCUCUGUCUCCCCUGGAAGUGCUGAGCCUUCUGGUGGGAAUUGUCCCGAGGGCCUAGGAGACAUGGUUACAUUCCCUCUCUACGCAGGACGUAAUUUGACAUUCCUUCUGGCUCGCCUUUGUUCCUUCCACUCAGUAACUAUUUUCUGAGCAUAUAUCACUAUAUCUGUUUCUAGGCCCUGGACUCUCUGGAGUAAGAAAGACUCAUCUAUCAGUUGAUUGACUAACACACCCAUGAGUUCAUUCAUUCAUUUGAUAAACAUGAGUCUUCUGGGCUCUCUGGGCUGUGAAGUGUCAGUUUCUGGCCUCCUUCGUUCCCUGCUGGGUCCCGGGUGUGUUCUGUAUAAGUGAGGAUGCUGGGUGAGUGAGGAUGACGGGGGACUUGCCCACUGUGUCCUCCUUGGCUGUCCGUGUCACAAGCUCCCCGCGAUUCCUGAUCAGUAGGCUUGGGGUGGGCCUGAGAAUCUGUUUCGGUCACAAGUGAGUCUAAUGCAGUUGAUCUAGUUCAACCCCCUCCUUCUGUGGGGAAAUUUGAGGCUCAGAGAGGGGCAGCGAAUUGUCUGAGGUCACACAGUAAGUAGGUUCCAAGGCCAGCCUAGAACUGGGAGCUUUUGACUUGCCGUCCAGGGUACUUCCUGCUCUCUGCCAGGUCCCCUCCCUGUGGGUGUCCCUCCCUGGGUGGGCCCUGCUGGAUUUCUUGAACAAACAUUCCCUUUUCUCCAGGAUCUGGUCAACAGCGUGCCUCCUGGCUACGUGCAAAAAUAAACGCAGCUCGCCGCUUGCUCUGAGAGGAGGG
rnacentral:lncRNA from 1 species